UACGGAGGGUGCAAGCGUUAUCCGGAUUCACUGGGUUUAAAGGGUGCGUAGGUGGGUUGGUAAGUCAGUGGUGAAAUCUCCGGGCUUAACCUGGAAACUGCCAUUGAUACUAUCAGUCUUGAAUACCGUGGAGGUCAGCGGAAUAUGUCAUGUAGCGUGAAAAUGCUUAGAUAUGACAUAGAACACCAAAUUGCGAAGGCAGCUGACUACGCGAAUAUUGACACUGAUGCACGAAAGCGUGGGGAUCAAACAGG
rnacentral:rRNA from 1 species